CUAACUCCCAGCUGAUUGUCAUUUCCAGGCUUCCGGUGCCAGUCUCCAUUAGAAUAGCAGAGCAGUAUGCUCUUGGCAUCUAUAUGGGCUGCGUUAAGCAGAUGUCCUGCUGCGACUGUUUUUGAUGCAGAGGACAAACAUCAAACACUGGUGUAGAGACCUUCAGCUGAGAUCUUGGAACAAUCAAAGGUUUCUCUGUAAAGAAAAUCAUGACUUCACCUACUCCAAAUUUCACUACCAGCAGCAGCUACAACACUGAGAA